GAUCCUGACUCAGGAUGAACGCUAGCGACAGGCCUAACACAUGCAAGUCGAGGGGCAGCGGGGAGGUAGCAAUACCUUUGCCGGCGACCGGCGCACGGGUGAGUAACACGUAUGCAAUCCACCUGUAACAGGGGGAUAACCCGGGAGAAAAUCCGGACUAAUACCCCAUAAUAUGGGCGCUCCGCAUGGAGAGUUCAUUAAAGAGAGCAAUUUUGGUUACAGACGAGCAUGCGCUCCAUUAG
rnacentral:rRNA from 1 species